GAUGAACGCUGGCGGCGUGCCUAAUACAUGCAAGUCGAGCGAACAGACGAGGAGCUUGCUCCUCUGACGUUAGCGGCGGACGGGUGAGUAACACGUGGAUAACCUACCUAUAAGUCUGGGAUAACUUCGGGAAACCGGAGCUUAUACCGGAUAAUAUAUUGAACCGCAUGGUUCAAUAGUGAAAGACGGUUUUGCUGUCACUUAUAGAUGGAUACGCGCCGCAUUAUCUAGUUGGUAAGGUAACGGCUUAUCAAGGCAACGAUGCGUAGCCGACCUGAGAGGGUGAUAGGCCACACUGGAACGUGGACACCGUCCAGACGCCUAAGGUAGGCAGCAGUAGGGAACCUUCCGCAAUGGGCGGGAGCCUGACGGAACAGCGCCGCGUGAGUGAUGAAGGUCUUCGGAUCGUAAAACUCUGUUAUGGGGUAAAAACAAAUGUCGAAUUAACUAUACACUUCUUGACGGUACCGAAUCAGAAAGCCACGGCUAACUACGUG
rnacentral:rRNA from 1 species